rnacentral:sRNA from 1 species
GCUGGGCAUGGCGGUGCAUGCUUGUAAUCCCAGUGACUCAGGAGGCUGAGGCAGGAGGAUCACAAGUUCAAGGCCAGCCUGGGCAACUUACUGAGAUCCUGUCUCAA